UACGUAGGUGACAAGCGUUGUCCGGAUUUACUGGGCGUAAAGGGCGCGUAGGCGGCCUUCUAAGUCGGACGUGAAAUCCCUCGGCUUAACCGAGGAACUGCGUCCGAUACUGAAAGGCUUGAAUCCGGGAGAGGGAUGUGGAAUUCCAGGUGUAGCGGUGAAAUGCGUAGAUAUCUGGAGGAACACCGGUGGCGAAGGCGGCAUCCUGGACCGGUAUUGACGCUGAGGCGCGAAAGCUAGGGGAGCAAACGGG
rnacentral:rRNA from 1 species